rnacentral:misc_RNA from 1 species
UUUCCGUAGGUGAACCUGCGGAAGGAUCAUUAUUGUUCUGUUGCCAGCGCUUGAUUGCGCGGCGACUCCUUCUACACAUGUUUAUUAUUAUUGAAUUGAAGAGAGAACUCCGUUUCUCUCUUUCAUAAACUCAAGAUUUAAUUCUUCUUUGAACUAUUGUCAGAAUAAAUUAACAAAUAUUCAAAACUUUCAACAACGGAUCUCUUGGUUCUCGCAUCGAUGAAGAACGCAGC